rnacentral:rRNA from 1 species
AGUGAACGCUGGCGGCGUGCUUAACACAUGCAAGUCGAACGGUAACAGGAAAGAGCUUGCUCUUUUGCUGACGAGUGGCGCACGGGUGAGUAAUAUAUAGAUAAUGUGCCCCUUAGUCUGGGAUAGCCACUGGAAACGGUGAUUAAUACUAGAUACUCCUUCUAAUCACAUGGUUAGUCGGGAAAGUUUUUUCGCUAAGGGAUCGGUCUAUAUCCCAUCAGUUAGUUGGUGAGGUAACGGCUCACCAAGGCAAUGACGGGUAGCGGGUUUGAGAGGAUGAUCCGCCACACUGGUACUGAGACACGGACCAGACUCCUACGGGAGGCAGCAGUGAGGAAUAUUGCACAAUGGGGGGAACCCUGAUGCAGCAACGCCGCGUGGAG